rnacentral:rRNA from 1 species
CCCUUAGAUGUUCUGGGCUGCACGCGCGCUACACUGAUGCGCUCAACGAGUUUACGAACUUGCCCGGAAGGGUUGGUUAAUCUUUUUAAAACGCAUCGUGAUGGGGAUAGAUUAUUGCAAUUAUUAAUCUUCAACGAGGAAUUCCUAGUAAGCGCGAGUCAUCAGCUCGCACUGAUUACGUCCCUGCCCUUUGUACACACCGCCCGUCGCUCCUACCGAUUGAAUGUUCCGGUGAGCUCUUCGGACUGCGCGGUCUGCAGUUUCUGCGUUCCGUGCGGAAAGUUGCGCAAACCUUAACAUUUAGAGGAAGGAGAAGUCGUAACA